rnacentral:rRNA from 1 species
GGACCCGCACAAGCGGUGGAACAUGUGGUUUAAUUCGAUGCUACGCGAAAAACCUUACCAAGAUUUGACAUAUUAGUCGUAUGUCUAGGAAACUAGCAGUCAGUUCGGCUGGACUAUUACAGGUGCUGCAUGGCUGUCGUCAGCUCGUGUCGUGAGAUGUUGGGUUAAGUCCCGCAACGAGCGCAACCCUUAUCUUUAGUUGCCAUCAGGUUAAGCUGGGAACUUUAAAGAAACUGCCAAUGGAGAAUUGGAGGAAGGUGAGGAUGACGUCAAGUCAGCAUGGCCCUUAUAUCUUGGGCUACACACGUGUUACAAUGGUAGUGACAAUGAGAUGCAAUAGGGCGACCUUGAGCAAAUCUAUAAAAACUAUCUCAGUUCGGAUUGCACCCUGCAACUCGGGUGCAUG